rnacentral:rRNA from 1 species
ACUCAAAUGAAUAGACGGGGACCCGCACAAGCGGUGGAGCAUGUGGAUUAAUUCGAUAAUAACCGAAGAACCUUACCCAGGUUUGACAUCGAUCGUAAGCCUCUGAAAGGAGGCCCUCUCCCACAAGGAGACGUGAAGACACUUGUUGCAUGGCUGUCGUCAGCUCGUGCCGUGAGGUGUACGGUUAAGUCCGCCAACGAGCGCAACCCUCGUCCUGUGUUACCAGCACGUAAUGGUGGGGACUCACAGGAGACCGCCGGUGUAAGCCGGAGGAAGGUGAGGAUGAUGUCAAGUCAGCAUGGCAGUUACGCCUGGGGCUUCACACAUGCUACAAUGGGCGAAACAAAGGGAAGCAAUACCGCGAGGUGGAGCCGAUCCCAAAAAUACGUCCUCAGUUCAGAUUGUAGUCUGCAACUCGACUACAUGAAGGCGGAAUCGCUAGUAAACGCAGGUCAGCUAUACUGCGUUGAAUACGUUCCCGGGUCUUGCACACACCGCCCGU